UAGGGAAUCUUCGGCAAUGGGGGGAACCCUGACCGAGCAACGCCGCGUGAGUGAAGAAGGUUUUAGGAUCGUAAAGCUCUGUUGUUAAGGAAGAACGAGUGUGAGAAUGGAAAGUUCAUACUGUGACGGUACUUAACCAGAAAGGGACGGCUAACUACGUGCCAGCAGCCGCGGUAAUACGUAGGUCCCGAGCGUUGUCCGGAUUUAUUGGGCGUAAAGCGAGCGCAGGCGGUUAGAUAAGUCUGAAGUUAAAGGCAGUGGCUCAACCAUUGUAGGCUUUGGAAACUGUUUAACUUGAGUGCAGAAGGGGAGAGUGGAAUUCCAUGUGUAGCGGUGAAAUGCGUAGAUAUAUGGAGGAACACCGGUGGCGAAAGCGGCUCUCUGGUCUGUAACUGACGCUGAGGCUCGAAAGCGUGGGGAGCGAACAGG
rnacentral:rRNA from 1 species